CUCUCGCACACGUCCGUGCGCUGUGGUAGUUGUUGAAGAGCCCAUGAUGGACUCAGUUGCUUUGCCUGAGACAGAGGACCAGCCUGAGACUGAGGUCUGUGUCGGGCAAAAUGUCUGCACACCUCGGACCAUACUAGAGGGACUGGUGGCACCGAGGCACUUUGGAAAACCCAGCCUGGCUGCUCCGGGGGAAGGAGUGGAGAUUGUUGUCCCAGACGCUGAAGGUUUGAGCUCUCUUCAGUCACCGCAGCGUGAAGAACUGAAGGAGUCAGACUCGACAGAAAACGAUGUUGGACAUGUUCUCCAAGAGAACCGUGUUCUGUCAGAGGAGAGUGAGGACCCUGUGCCACAGGCAGAGGACAGUUUCGGGCCUGCCAUGAGCUCUCCACUCAGGCACUAUAUUGAUGGGACUGUGCCUGAUCUGCUGAGGAGUGGGAGCCCCCUGCAAAGGAGAGUGUCCAGUCCAGUGUCUAACACCCUAAAGGUGGUCCGUCGGGAGGUGGAGCUAUCUCGGCGGAGGAGCCUCAAGCUAAAAGCACAGGUGGAGAAACUCCAUAACCGGAGUACCUCGGACUGGACCCAGCAGAGACCACAGGUGACAGAGGAGGUUCAGUCUCUUCUGAAGCUUCUGCUUCCUCUAACGGACGUGGAUCCGACCCAGCCGGGCUCCUCUGGUUCUGAGGAUCCUCUUGAUGUGGCCCUGAGCCAGCUGCAGAAGGUGGCCCGCGUCCUGGCCCUGAACCACACCAAGGGAAAUACUGAAGAUGGGGACAGUGCUGUUCUACAACAGGCCUUACGAGACAGAGACCAAGCAGUCACAAAGAAGAAAGCCAUGGAGAGGGAGCUGCUGAACAGCAAGACGGAGAUGAUGAACAUGAACAACCAGCUGCUGGAGGCGGUGCAGCACCGGCUGGAGCUCUCUCUGGAGCUAGAGGCCUGGAAGGAGGACUUCCAGCUGCUCCUCCAGCAGCAGGUGUUGUCUCAGCAGGCUCAGGCUCAGGCUCAGGCUGAGCAGUCUCAGAAGAAGGGUGGCCUGCUGGGGUCGUUUGGUAGAAAGACAGGCAAAGCCUCUCCCAAAACCCCCCCAUCCCCUUCCCCCGCUCGCCUGACCCCUGCUGCUGCUGCGGCCCCCGCCGUGAGCACGGCCAAAGCACCUGCGGAGAGAGAGGCCCCAAACCGCUGGAGGGUGAAUUUCAGGCGAGGUCGCACCAGCAAAGGGCCUGACAACACCACAAAACCAGAGGACAACAGUAAAAAACAAUACCUCACACAACCAUCAGGGGGCAGGAGAGAGAGCCAAUUCCACACUGUCUCUCUGGACUGAGUAAACAACAUGUACAGAUGUGAUUGAAGAUAUAUAACUGUGCCCAACAUGUACACCUUGACUGUGGUCUUAUAGGCCAUGCACUGUUCUGUUGAGGUGAUGAGACCAGUAUUUGUUGUAAAGAAAUUAGAAAUUCCAGUUGCACUUUUACUUUGACAUGUGAACAGAAUUUGAUGCUGAGCAUUGAUCUUGUGAUAUUAUCCUUUCUACAAUAAUUACCAUCAGUUUAACGUGAUUAAAGAAUCAGACAAUGAGUCAACAGAUGGCUUUUCUAGUUUAAUUUUUGUAAAUAAUAAAUAACUACAACAUGUAAACA
rnacentral:lncRNA from 1 species